rnacentral:rRNA from 1 species
CGGAGGAAAAGAAACCAACAGGGAUUGCCUCAGUAACGGCGAGUGAAGCGGCAAAAGCUCAAAUUUGAAAUCUGGCCCCCCCCCGCGGGGGUCCGAGUUGUAAUUUGCAGAGGAUGCUUUGGGCGCGGCGCCUUCCGAGUGCCUUGGAACAGGUCGCCUCAGAGGGUGAGAGCCCCGUACGGUUGGACGCCUAGCCCGUGUAAAGCUCCUUCAACGAGUCGAGUAGUUUGGGAAUGCUGCUCAAAAUGGGAGGUAAAUUCCUUCUAAAGCUAAAUACUGGCCAGAGACCGAUAGCGCACAAGUAGAGUGAUCGAAAGGUGAAAAGCACUUUGAAAAGAGAGUCAAAUAGCACGUGAAAUUGUUAAAAGGGAAGCGUCUGCGACCAGACGCGCCGCCCGCGGCUCACCCGGCGCCUCGGCGCCGGGGCACGCCGCGGGCGUCGGGCCAGCAUCGGCUCUGCCGUGGGUACAAGGACCGCGGGAACGUAGCUCCCUCGUGGAGUGUUAUAGCCCGCGGCACCAUGCCCGCGGCGGGGCCGAGGACCGCGCCCGCAAGGGCAAGGAUGCUGGCGUAAUGGCCGCCGGCGACCCGUCUUGAAACACGGACCAAGGAGUCAAGCAGUGGGGCGAGUGUACGGGUGCCAAACCCGCGCGCGAAAUGAAAGUAAACGCAGGUGGGAGCCUCCGGGCGCACCACCGACCGAUCCUGACGUUCUCUGAUGGAUUUGAGUAGGAGCCCUACUGCUUGGACCCGAAAGAUGGUGAACUAUGCCUGUAUAGGGUGAAGCCAGAGGAAACUCUGGUGGAGGCUCGCAGCG